GUUUCUGUUUUUAUUAUAUGAUCAUUCUGUAACUUAAAUGAGACUGAAGACAUCGAUGUAUUUGCAAAAUAUAGGUGGCUGAACAAAAACUAAGAGAAGAACAACGACAGAGACGUAAUCAGGUAAAUUAUUAUUUGCAUGGAUUAGUAGAAAUAAUACAAGAAACCAAAGGAACUAACGUUUUGUGGGGAGGGGUUGGAAGAGCAGAAUACAAGCACGGGACGUAAUCAAGACCCGGGAAUGGGAGGGCAAGGAAUACCUUCUCAGUUCUCAAUGCCUUUAAACCCUGAUAUGAUGAGCAUGUUCAUGAACAUGGCGGGGAACGGAGGAGAUGGUAACAGAAAUGGUACAAAUGAGCCUGAGAUUCGUGUAGGCGGAAACAUCAACAUAGAUCUUGGCGCUGCUGAUCAAAUGCCUGAAGAGUUUUCAGGUGCAUUGCGAUCAAUGAUGCAAAUGUUUGGAGGAUCACAGGAAGGCAACAAUAACAAUCCUCAAGGUACUAAUGGUGCACAUGGAAGACCAUCUGGAAAUUAAACCUUAAAAGAGCCAUGUGUGUUUCUAAGGUUAUUAUAUGGUUUCUCAGUUUGUGCUCCAUAGACUUUUUUAGGUUUUGAAUUUUAACAGCAGACUGAUGUAAUGAAGUGAUGUUAUUACAAAAUGAUGUUCUAAGAUUUUGGUGUACAUACAUGAUGAACAUGAGCAAGUGAAAUUCAUAUUUAACCUCAAAAUUCUCAGAAACAAAAAAAAAGGCAAAUUGUUGAAUUAUUAUACAAUUUGAGAAAGAAAGAAAAAGCCAAACCCACCUCAUGAAAACAGUACGGAUACAGAAGCGCUUCGUGAAGAUCUAAAUCUGAUACUUUGAAGAAUUUCUACAAUAUACAGUUGUAGAAGAAACACACUCACUCACAGAGAAGCAACAGCGGAAGAAGGUUGAAGCGCACGAAUUCUGAUAUCAUACUUGGUAACAGUGUCAGUGACACCCUUCCUGGGCGAUGAGUUUUGUGUUACGAGUGCGUACUCAGGAGGGGCCUUGUCAUAAGAAGCAUUGCCUAUGUAGUUAUUACAUUGGCGACAGAGAAGCUUAGUCUUGCGUCUGAACAAACCCCAAGAGUAUCUGGAGAAGUGAGGCAUGCAUUGGAACUCAUCAACCUGGCUGAAUCUCCCCUCGUCAAUGUUGAAGAAGGAUAUGAUUCCAGUCUUCAUGGAUUUCCCAUACUUCGAUCCAAUUGAUGAUGUUUUUUUGUUUUCAGAACAAUUCUUGAAGGGCUUUGAUAAGAGGUAAAGAAGCGAUUCGGUGAAAUUGGGGAUUGAAUUGUUUUCUUUUGGUAUUUAUUGCUAGUUCAAGUUGCUCCUGGUGUUGACGAGGAAGGGCUUGAGGUUGCUAAAGAAUGCAUAAAGGAAGCAUUUAAGAUCACUUCCGAUUCUGCCAGGGACUAUAACUCUAAACCCGUUUCGCUUGUUAGUAUCUUCACUUCUCCUGUAGAUGAGUCUAGUUCUUCAUCAGGUCCUGACUUGUCCAACUCAGUGGAUGCAAGCAAAGAACCUCUCUUUAAGGGUCAGUUAUGGUUUGCUUUUUUUGUUCAUAGUUCAUCAUUCUCUUGUUGAGCUUGUCUUGUUUUGCAGGAACUUGUAGAGAUGAACUAUUUGGCCAACUCUUUGGUGCGCUUGAGAAAGUUCGGUAUUUCAAUACCACGCCUAACGGAGAUGAUGAUCCUGCUCAGCUGGAGAAAGCAACCAAGAUAUUUCAUGAUGCUAUCAGUGUUGGUUUUCGGUGUUUCCUUGUUGACUUUAUUGAUGUUUUUGCUUCCAUUGGUAAACAUGUUUCUUUAUCUACAUAAUCCAGGAAAUGGAAAGUUCUGGAUGCCAGACAUUUGAUGCGAAAAGCUUGGCAGAAACAUUCAAGUGCCAAGGUACUUGUGAUGUUAACCUUCCCUAAAAGAGACACCUUGAAGUUUUAUUUUUCUAAAUGUUGUCUCAUCUAUUUCUUCGUAAUCACUGGAGUUAUUACCUCUGUUUAGGUAACAAGGCCAUGCAGUCCCAGCAGUAUCUGGAGGCAAUCGAGCUGUAUUCUUUUGCAAUUGCACUCUCAGAUAAAAACGCUGUUUUCUACUGCAACAGGUGAGUGAUAAAAAAGCCUUAACUUCGUAGCUCUCUGGUUGUGUUUACUGCUUAAUCUGAUUUUUCUUAGCAUGCUUUUAGAUAUAUGUUCACUUCACCAAAAAAUUUAAAGGAAUUAAUUAUAUAUCAGGGCUGCUGCAUAUACCCAGAUAAACAUGUGCUCAGAAGCAAUCAAGGACUGUCUUAAAUCCAUUGAGAUAGAUGCAAACUAUAGUAAGGCUUACAGUCGCCUUGGGUUAGCAUAUUAUGCUCAAGGAAAGUAUGCUGAUGCUAUUGAGAAAGGCUUCAAGAAAGGUAUUUAUAUGUUCUUAGAAUGAAUCCAGCCUUCUCUAUCAAGUUAGCAUAUUAUUUUCUUUCAAAGGGGCCGAUUGCUUUAGAAAAAGUGCUAAAGCUUUCCUUUGUUACAUUAUUCCUGUGUAACCUUUUCAUCACCACUCAUGUCAGCUUUGGAGUUGGAUCCGCAUAAUGAAUCUGUCAAAGAAAACAUCAGGGUCGGUUUUACUUUAUUAAUAUACGUUUCUGUUUUUAUUAUAUGAUCAUUCUGUAACUUAAAUGAGACUGAAGACAUCGAUGUAUUUGCAAAAUAUAGGUGGCUGAACAAAAACUAAGAGAAGAACAACGACAGAGACGUAAUCAGGUAAAUUAUUAUUUGCAUGGAUUAGUAGAAAUAAUACAAGAAACCAAAGGAACUAACGUUUUGUGGGGAGGGGUUGGAAGAGCAGAAUACAAGCACGGGACGUAAUCAAGACCCGGGAAUGGGAGGGCAAGGAAUACCUUCUCAGUUCUCAAUGCCUUUAAACCCUGAUAUGAUGAGCAUGUUCAUGAACAUGGCGGGGAACGGAGGAGAUGGUAACAGAAAUGGUACAAAUGAGCCUGAGAUUCGUGUAGGCGGAAACAUCAACAUAGAUCUUGGCGCU
rnacentral:lncRNA from 1 species